rnacentral:rRNA from 1 species
AAAUUGAAGAGUUUGAUCAUGGCUCAGAUUGAACGCUGGCGGCAGGCCUAACACAUGCAAGUCGAACGGUAACAGGAAGAAGCUUGCUUCUUUGCUGACGAGUGGCGGACGGGUGAGUAAUGUCUGGGAAACUGCCUGAUGGAGGGGGAUAACUACUGGAAACGGUAGCUAAUACCGCAUAACGUCGCAAGACCAAAGAGGGGGAGCUUCGGGCCUCUUGCCAUCGGAUGUGCCCAGAUGGGAUUAGCUAGUAGGUG